CCCUGAAGACGGUUGCCGAUAAGCAAUCGAAGUAAGCCAAUUUUUUUCAAUUUUUCAAUUUUCAAUAAACUAAACCCUGGCCCUCGAGCUAGCAAAUCAAAAUACAAAAAAAAUUAAAAUUAAAUUGUUUAUUAAAAAAAUUAUUUAAUGACUGAUAACUUUCCCUAGCACUAUAUUUUACACGAUUUGGGUCGAGCAGUUCGAAAGCAGCACCACGAACAGUUCGAAAGCAGCACCACGCUUAGACAUAGCAGCGAGUAAACGGUUUAUUGCUGCAGAAAUGCACACACCAUUUGUAGAUAUGGAAGAUAUAUGCAAGCUCAAUAUAUGCGUAGCCUGACGGAGGCAAGCGGCUCCAAUCUCCAAUAAUCUUGGAACAUGAAAAUCGUUAAAUAAAAAAUAUGUUUAAGUAACACAAAGGUUAACCCCGUAAAAUAACAGUGUUGACUCUUAAAUGGUCUUACAAACAAUAUACAAAUAUAUUGCUGUAUAUACUAUAUAUUACGCAGGAAUAUGUUGCUAGAUUAAUAUAAUUGCGGAUAGGUUGCAAUUGAAUUUAGAAUAAAGAACGCGGAAUGAAAUGUUUUCUGUUUGAAUUGUUUGCAUUAUGUCGGUCAUGGACUUUACCACCGCAUACAAAGCAACGAACCUGCUUUCGAAAUUUAAAAAUAAUAAGUAAAUAAAUCUAUACCUACAUUUAUUAUAUUAAUAAAAGGGAGUCAAUACAGUCUAUUGUACCUAGUGCUCGCUAAUGAACAAGAGUUGUUCGACUUUAUGGCAGUGGCUCGUAACCAACCAGGAGCGGCGUGAGUUGCCUCUGAUUAGGCAAGUCCAGAAAACAUGUGUAGAUUUAGUUAACGUAUUGUCUCGAUAGUGGGUCUGUUAUCCAGAACUACUAUAAAGAUUUGACCAAUAUCAUCUAGGUACUAUUUAGAAAAGAUCACAAUAUUUUUCAUUUAAUGUUGAGGCCUUGGUAACAAGCACCUGCAGUUUCCGCAUUCUCUUCUGGAGCUUGUUUACCUCUAAUAUGUUCAGCGCCUAGCACACCGACUUUGGUCACAGGUCAUUGAAGGAUCUCGAUAGCUAUCCCGACGACUGUUCGUAUUGUCUCCUUGUCUUUUUCCAGGAUGGUUUGCUUGAUAAUGAUCACGUUUGCUUACAGGACGAUGGAGGUGUUCGUUUGACAAAUCACUUCAUGUACCGCGCAAGAUCACGCACGUAUUCAUACACCCAAUAUGGCCAGAAUUGACUGAUGAACAGUUGUCUUUCUUCCGUCGUUGGUACCUAAUAGCAGCUGCGAAAUUCGGUGGUAUAAAUUAGUAUCCAGUAGCAUAUAAGCUUUUUACCUGAAUAAUAUAGCUCACACCUGUAAGUUAUGUGAUUUUUUCAAUUGUAGAUGUUGAUGUAUAUUCAGACCCUUGUCACAAGUGCUGAGAUUGGUAAACUUGUAGGUUAUGUUCGGAAAGCAACUAGCCUUCCAAAUCACUGACCUUGUGGCUCAGCAAUGAAACAACUAGUAACGGACUGAUAACGGCAAGUGCCGGAGCAGUAUAUUUGAAGAAGUUGUUCCUACAAAGUUGGUUACAAACCAAACUAGAAUUAAAACAUUGAAUUAGAUCUGAACCCUAAGGCUAGGCGCAUAAGUCUUAGCUACUAUAUCCGGCAAGCCGAUUGGGCAUACUCCAACACUGUCGCUUGCGGCAUAGGCAAGUGUCAGGUUACCGCUGCUGGCCGCAGUGGCCGGGCACUGAACUCGUAGCUCAGCAGAAUGUCGCAGUAAAGCAAAGUGCCCUGCAACAUUCUUGCGUUCUUAUAAACAAAAGUGUGUUUUUAUAUGACAUAAAUAUGAAGUGCAAUUCUUAUGUGUUGACUACUCCUCUCUCAAGCUUUUGACCGUUCCCGGUUAUUUUAUAACUGUUAAUGGUUUUUAGGCGUAGGUCGUCGUUACUCAUUCAUUGACCGCUAGAAUGUCAUUGUCGCAUUCGGCUAUUGUAUCAUCUUGUAGCUGUAGUGUGACGUGUUGGUGUGCCACCGGAAAGAUGGUGAUUUUCUUGCAAAAGAGCUUGACCCUGGGAUACGCUAUUAAUAUAUGGACAAUGUUCUCGGACUGAAGAACCUUGAUUUUAGACGCUUCGGUUGGGUUAACUAUUGGAAUUUCGACAGGAUGUUUAUUUAUAAUUGAUUUCAAAUCAUCGUGGUCAAAUAUUGUGGGGUUUAUUAUACCCGCUUUGGCUAGUGUAAUUCACUAUAUCUUACACGAUUUGGGUCGAGCAGUUCGAAAGCAGCACCACGAACAGUUCGAAAGCAGCACCACGCUUAGACAUAGCAGCGAGUAAACGGUUUAUUGCUGCAGAAAUGCACACACCAUUUGUAGAUAUGGAAGAUAUAUGCAAGCUCAAUAUAUGCGUAGCCUGACGGAGGCAAGCGGCUCCAAUCUCCAAUAAUCUUGGAACAUGAAAAUCGUUAAAUAAAAAAUAUGUUUAAGUAACACAAAGGUUAACCCCGUAAAAUAACAGUGUUGACUCUUAAAUGGUCUUACAAACAAUAUACAAAUAUAUUGCUGUAUAUACUAUAUAUUACGCAGGAAUAUGUUGCUAGAUUAAUAUAAUUGCGGAUAGGUUGCAAUUGAAUUUAGAAUAAAGAACGCGGAAUGAAAUGUU